GACGAACGCUGGCGGCGUGCUUAACACAUGCAAGUCGAACGGAAAGGCCCUGCUUUUGUGGGGUGCUCGAGUGGCGAACGGGUGAGUAACACGUGAGUAACCUGCCCUUGACUUUGGGAUAACUUCCGGAAACUGGGGCUAAUACCGGAUAGGAGCUCCUGCUGCAUGGUGGGGGUUGGAAAGUUUCGGCGGUUGGGGAUGGACUCGGGGCUUAUCAGCUUGUUGGUGGGGUAGUGGCUUACCAAGGCUUUGACGGGUAGCCGGCCUGAGAGGGUGACCGGCCACAAUGGGACUGAGAUACGGACCAGACUCCAACGGGAGGCAGCAGUGGGGAAUAUUGCACAAUGGGCGGAAGCCUGAUGCAGCAACGCCGCGUGCGGGAUGACGGCCUUCGGGUUGUAAACCGCUUUCGCCUGUGACGAAGCGUGAGUGACGGUAAUGGGUAAAGAAGCACCGGCUAACUACGUG
rnacentral:rRNA from 1 species